rnacentral:lncRNA from 1 species
UAAAAUUAAAAGGUUCUAAAAAAAAAGCAUGUAUGUAUAAGGGGGGCUUUUUUUUGGGUGGUGAAAAAAGGAAGUGUCGGGCUACGUAAAAUUUAUAAGUUCGAUGAAAGGAUCAGGGGAUGAAACCGUAAUAGCCAUAAAAGGAACACAAAAAGAAAGGCAUCGUUGGUCUUCGAAGGAUAAAUUUACGACAAUAAGAUAAUGAGGAGGCCAAAGGGGGCCAAACAUGUGACAGGAACAUGACAGUCGACGCAGUGUAACAAAAAUAAGAAAACUUCUGUUGGAGUG